UACGUAGGGCGCAAGCGUUAUCCGGAAUUAUUGGGCGUAAAGAGCUCGUAGGCGGCUUGUCACGUCGGGUGUGAAAGCCCGGGGCUUAACCCCGGGUCUGCAUUCGAUACGGGCUAGCUAGAGUGUGGUAGGGGAGAUCGGAAUUCCUGGUGUAGCGGUGAAAUGCGCAGAUAUCAGGAGGAACACCGGUGGCGAAGGCGGCAUCCUGGACCGGUAUUGACGCUGAGGCGCGAAAGCCAGGGGAGCAAACGGG
rnacentral:rRNA from 1 species